rnacentral:rRNA from 1 species
AACUUUCGAUGGUAGGAUAGAGGCCUACCAUGGUGGUAACGGGUAACGGGGUGUUAGGGCACGACACCGGAGAGGGAGCCUGAGAAACGGCUACCACAUCCAAGGAUGGCAGCAGGCGCGCAAAUUACCCAAUCCCGACACGGGGAGGUAGUGACAAUAAAUAACAAUACGGGGUUCUUUCGGAUUUCGUAAUUGGAAUGAGUACAAUUUAAAUCUCUUAACGAGGAACAAUUGGAGGGCAAGUCUGGUGCCAGCAGCCGCGGUAAUUCCAGCUCCAAUAGCGUAUAUUAAAGUUGCUGCAGUUAAAAAGCUCGUAGUUGAAUUUCGGGACCAAUAUGUCGGUCGUGCCUCGGUACGUACUGGCAUCGUUGGUUUCUCUCUUCUGAAGAACCAUGAUGUCAUUUAUUUGGUGUCGUGGGGAAUCAGGACUGUUACUUCGAAAAAAUUAGAGUGUUUAAAGCAGGCUCACGCUUGAAUACAUUAGCAUGGAAUAAUGAAAUAGGACGUUUGAUUCUAUUUUGUUGGUUUCUAGGAUCGACGUAAUGAUUGAUAGGGAUAGUUGGGGGCAUUAGUAUUCAAUUGUCAGAGGUGAAAUUCUUGGAUUUAUUGAAGACUAACUACUGCGAAAGCAUUUGUCAAGGGUGUUUUCAUUAAUCAAGAACGAAAGUUAGGGGAUCGAAGACGAUCAGAUACCGUCGUAGUCUUAACCAUAAACUAUGCCGACUAGGGAUCGGAUGAUGUUAAUUUUUUAAUGACUCAUUCGGCGCCUUACGGGAAACCAAAGUGUUUGGGUUC